UCAGGACGAACGCUGGCGGCGUGCUUAACACAUGCAAGUCGAACGGUAAGGCCCUUCGGGGUACACGAGUGGCGAACGGGUGAGUAACACGUGGGUGAUCUGCCCUGCACUUCGGGAUAAGCCUGGGAAACUGGGUCUAAUACCGGAUAGGACCAUGGACUUCACGGUUUGUGGUGGAAAGCUUUUGCGGUGUGGGGAAUGGGGCCCGCGGCCUAUCAGCUUGUUGGUGGGGUAAUGGCCUACCAAGGCGACGACGGGUAGCCGGCCUGAGAGGGUGUCCGGCCACACUGGGACUGAGAUACGGCCCAGACUCCUACGGGAGGCAGCAGUGGGGAAUAUUGCACAAUGGGCGCAAGCCUGAUGCAGCGACGCCGCGUGAGGGAUGACGGCCUUCGGGUUGUAAACCUCUUUCAAUAGGGACGAAGCGCAAGUGACGGUACCUAUAGAAGAAGCACCGGCCAACUACGUG
rnacentral:rRNA from 1 species